UAUUUCCUGGGACGUUCGCAAAACCACAUUAUUUUGAUCCUACAUUUCAUCGACGGGAUUCCUAUAUCUCCAUUCCAAUGUCAAGCCUCCUUAGUCAGUGGAAGGCAGCGGUCUGGAUGCGGUUGCCCACCUAGCUUCGCUAGGAGUCGAAAGCGUGGGGAGCGGCGUUUUGGGAUAUUA
rfam:[Eubacterium] eligens ATCC 27750 chromosome, complete genome.